CUACGUGCCAGCAGCCGCGGUAAUACGUAGGUCCCGAGCGUUGUCCGGAUUUAUUGGGCGUAAAGCGAGCGCAGGCGGUUAGAUAAGUCUGAAGUUAAAGGCUGUGGCUUAACCAUAGUACGCUUUGGAAACUGUUUAACUUGAGUGCAAGAGGGGAGAGUGGAAUUCCAUGUGUAGCGGUGAAAUGCGUAGAUAUAUGGAGGAACACCGGUGGCGAAAGCGGCUCUCUGGCUUGUAACUGACGCUGAGGCUCGAAAGCGUGGGGAGCAAACAGGAUUAGAUACCCUGGUAGUCCACGCCGUAAACGAUGAGUGCUAGGUGUUAGACCCUUUCCGGGGUUUAGUGCCGUAGCUAACGCAUUAAGCACUCCGCCUGGGGAGUACGACCGCAAGGUUGAAACUCAAAGGAAUUGACGGGGGCCCGCACAAGCGGUGGAGUAUGUGGUUUAAUUCGACGCAACGCGAAGAACCUUACCAGGUCUUGACAU
rnacentral:rRNA from 1 species